UUGAUUUCAUUAAAUGUUUAUUUUUUUUCCAGAAAAAUAUUAGAAAAUUAUAGAAAUUUAUAGAUUACAGUAGAAAAUAUUUGCUUUGCAUGUAUAUAUUAAACCAACACCCUUAAUUUACGCAAAUUGUAAAAAAAAAAGGCCACUCAUACAAUACUGAAACAUGCCAGCAGUGAGACAAUCUUACUAUAGGGCUUAGAGAGAACCAUGUCAUACAUUCUGUAAAGUUACAAUUUAACGAAAUGAGAAAGAUUUACUAAAUUUAAAGUAAGCAUGUUGGUUUCCUGCUGCCCAGAUCGAAUACUAUAAAUUACACAUAGACCCAAGAUAACCCAGCAAUAAAUGAGAUAAGAUGUGUUUUCAUGUGCAAAGGAAUACAAGUUCAGGGUAAAAGUUUCAAAGUGGAGCAACUCGAAGGAACAUUCCAAUGGUUCCUUUGGUGAUUAUUCCACCUUUAGAACUUUGCCAGACAUUUCUAAGGAGCAGGUGCAGGCUCCACGGCUCUCAUAAAAUAGUGGUGGACAGAAAGAUGGAAAAACAACUUUCAUGACAACAGCAAUAAAUCAUCAUUAAAUCCAGUACAUAUCAAGAUGGCGGAACCAGGGCAGCACAAGACAAUGUAACUAAACAUGUUCCUGAGUGGCAUUAUGUGAUAUAGAAGCAGGUGAUUUACACCGUCUGACAAUGCAUGCAGUAUUAGAGGAUAUGGUUUAACAAUCUCUAGAGUUGCUCAAGAAGUUAGAUGUACCACAAGUCUGGAUAUGAGUUGCAGUCUGUCACAUGGAGCUUGAAUUUUAAAUAAAGGAAACGUGGUCAUAAUUCACGUAAAUGGGGGAUGGGACAAUAGGCUAUUCAAUGGCUGUAAGUUGAAUUUGCCAUAUGUUCAAUAAGCGACAUAUAAUCAUCUAGCGGCACUAUCAUACAUACCAAAAUUAGCCAUACAACUGUACCAAUUAACCCAAAAUAAGAAUUUUCACAGGGGUAAGCCAUCUGGUUGUGCCAUGUGUUUAUUUAUAUGUAGCAGUAAUACAUCUGUUAGAGUGGUGUGUAGGGUUUUUAAUGCAUGCAUACAUGCUGCCAUAUGCAAACAUCUUACUAUCCAAUCAUCGGCACAGUGAGGGGCAUUCUCUUCUACUGAUUACUACGCAUUAGUAAAAAGUAACCUACUCAUGCAGGGUAGUGAUGUCUAGUUGUGCCACACUAUAUGUAAAAACUGUUCUGCUUAAAGGCACGACUAAAGUUUAUCUGAACAUGUGACAGCUUGACAGUUAAAUAUUGAAUGACAAAAUGAAAGUGAUAAACAAUAUGCAAAAUUUCUAUGAUUAUGCCCAAAAAUGCCCCCCUCCAGGCACCAUGACCACUUCAAAACACUAAAAUGGUCAUGGUGCUUGGAGUAGCCCUUUAAUGUUAACAUAUACACUAUUAUAUCUUGCAUACAGUGCAAAAUUCCUUUGCCAACAAUUAAAAGAAAAAUCCCUACUUUGUAGUAUUCUUAAUUUAUUUUUCCAUUACUAUUCAAACUAUAGCACACAAAA